CUUCGCUCUUCUUUGUCAAUGUUCGAACUUUUGAUUCUAGCUUCGUAUUUUGAUGUUAUUUGUUCUUAUCCGCAUAAAAAAUGUUCCGUGGGAAAACAUCGGCUUGAUCGGAUUAUUGCCAUUUUCUUUCGUCUUUUUUCAAGGAAUCUGUUGUUAAGUUUAGUUUAGGUUUGGUUUGCAUGUAACCUGUGGAUUCGAUAGCUAAGAUGCCAUAUGAUGUUUGGGACAUUUUGCGCAAGGGCUUUGAGUUCCUGAAGAUUUGGAUGACGUAAUCUGAGGAGCAGUGAGAAGUCAUUUAUUUUCAUAUCCCGACUGAUGGCUCAUAAUCCCUGUUAUGAGGUGAAAUGUCAGUUUCAUAAUCUGAUCUGUGAGUUUCCCAGAUCUUUUAAGAUUCUGAUUCUUGAAUUGUUUUGCCUGUGAUGUCUGAGAAUUCUUCGCAAGGGCUUUGAGUUAAUGCUGUAGUCUGCGCAAGAACAGUGAAAACUGAUUUACUUUUUGUAUCCCAUCUGAUGGCACUUGAUUACUGUCCAAUUGUAAAAGUGAAGUUCGGGGUUUUUUUCUGACCUAGAAUUUGAAACAUACAGCGUCCUGGUCUCGAGAACUAUUUGCUGUGUUUGAGAGAUUUGUGCAGGGCUUUGCGAAGGUAUAUAAUGUUUAAGUGAUGGGACUGUGAAAAGUCCAUCGUUGUUGUCUUGCUUUAUGGUAGCAGGAAUGUCUCCAGAACUCGGUAAAGAACCUUCUACCUAAAGGUCGAUGAAGCAGUGUGUUAAAGAUUGAGCUUCCUGGUGGCAAUCUCUGCCUUCUGGAUUUGGCCUUUUUGCAGGCUGCAACUAUUCCCAGGAAUAUUGCAGGGGCCAAAUGCUUCCUAAGGCAGAAAGGGGUCAGAUCGAAAAGCCCUCUCGUUUAACCAGUUGGAUGACCACUCAAAUGAUCUUUUCCCUUUGAUCUAUGAGAAAGAUUCAAUCUUGCAUUGCAUGUCCUCUGUAUUUUCCUCUGUGGUUGCUUGAUUGACAAGAAAAGAUUUUGCUUCAAAAUGGAAUAUAAAAACAACUGCAUCA